rnacentral:rRNA from 1 species
UACGGAGGGUGCAAGCGUUGUUCGGAAUUAUUGGGCGUAAAGCGCGCGCAGGCGGUCGAAAAAGUCUAUGGGUAAAAGGCCGGGGCUCAACCCCGUGUACGCCCAGGAUACUCUUCGACUGGAGACACGUAGAGGCAAGCGGAAUUCCGGGUGUAGCGGUGGAAUGCGUAGAGAUCCGGAAGAACACCGGAGGCGAAGGCGGCUUGCUGGGCGUGAUCUGACGCUGAGGCGCGAAAGCGUGGGGAGCAAACAGG